GUGUACUGAAAGAAUUUGAACAGGUUCCCAGCCAUCUGACAGAGGAGCUGCAUCUCUUCUCACUGGAUGAUCUGGUGAAGAUCAAACGAGGGCAGUUAUUGCCCCUUCUUAAAGAUAUUCUGAAGAGCUCUACCUCCCAUGUGGAUGGCUGCGAGCUCUGUCAAGCGAAGGGGUUUAUCUGUGAAUUCUGUCAGAGCGCAGAUCUGCUCUUUCCAUAUCAGAUUGCCAAAUGCAAAAGGUGCACAGAGUGCAAAACAUGCUUUCACAAAUCGUGCUUCAAGUCUGGAGGCUGCCCCAAAUGUCUGCGGAUUGCAGCUCGGAGGACGCUUUCAGAAACUCCAUCACUGGUGCCUCCGUGAAACUCGGUUCUGAUGACUGCUGAUUUUAGAAGAUGCUCAAAGCCAAAUCUUCAGUGUGUAUUGCAGCAAGAGAAGAUCCUCGAUGAGUCUGAGGAGCUGGCGGAAAGUGGAAGACCCAAGAGCAUCAGCACGCUUAUAAUCCAAGUAAAACUAGUUAAAAUGUUCUGCCGCUGAGGCUGAAGAAAGAAGGACCAAGUUGCGAGGUGCCAACAGGCUGGUCACAAGUUGGAAGGAAUAACAGAGGCUGCAAUUUACUGCGUUUGAGGGGGUGGUGCUGUCGACUGUUAGGUCUAGAGGAGGAUCAUACCAAAACCACAUCCUUGUGUGCUGGUGUCGGCACGAGAUACCGCAGGAACA
rnacentral:lncRNA from 1 species